GCCCUUAGAGUUUGAUCCUGGCUCAGGAUGAACGCUAGCGACAGGCUUAACACAUGCAAGUCGAGGGGCAGCACAGGUAGCAAUACCGGGUGGCGACCGGCGCACGGGUGAGUAACGCGUAUGCAACUUACCUAUCAGAGGGGGAUAACCCGGCGAAAGUCGGACUAAUACCGCAUGAAGCAGGGGCCCCGCAUGGGGAUAUUUGCUAAAGAUUCAUCGCUGAUAGAUAGGCAUGCGUUCCAUUAGGCAGUUGGCGGGGUAACGGCCCACCAAACCGACGAUGGAUAGGGGUUCUGAGAGGAAGGUCCCCCACAUUGGUACUGAGACACGGACCAAACUCCUACGGGAGGCAGCAGUGAGGAAUAUUGGUCAAUGGCCGAGAGGCUGAACCAGCCAAGUCGCGUGAGGGAUGAAGGUUCUAUGGAUCGUAAACCUCUUUUAUAAGGGAAUAAAGUGCGGGACGUGUCCCGUUUGUAUGUACCUAUAAUAGAUGGUACUCG
rnacentral:rRNA from 1 species